rnacentral:rRNA from 1 species
AUUGAACGCUGGCGGCAUGCCUUACACAUGCAAGUCGAACGGCAGCACGGGUGCUUGCACCUGGUGGCGAGUGGCGAACGGGUGAGUAAUACAUCGGAACGUACCUUAUCGUGGGGGAUAACGCAGCGAAAGCUGUGCUAAUACCGCAUACGCCCUGAGGGGGAAAGCAGGGGAUCGAAAGACCUCGCGCGAUUAGAGCGGCCGAUGCCUGAUUAGCUUGUUGGUGGGGUAAAAGCCCACCAAGGCGACGAUCAGUAGCUGGUCUGAGAGGACGAUCAGCCACACUGGGACUGAAACACGGCCCAGACUCCUACGGGAGGCAGCAGUGGGGAAUUUUGGACAAUGGGGGCAACCCUGAUCCAGCAAUGCCGCGUGAGUGAAGAAGGCCUUCGGGUUGUAAAGCUCUUUUGUCAGGGAAGAAACACCGGCUCUAACACAGUCCGGGAGUGACGGUACCUGAAGAAUAAGCACCGGCUAACUACGUGCUAGCCGCCGCAGUAA